AGUGAACGCUGGCGGUAGGCCUAACACAUGCAAGUCGAACGGCAGCACAGAGGAGCUUGCUCCUUGGGUGGCGAGUGGCGGACGGGUGAGGAAUACAUCGGAAUCUACUCUGUCGUGGGGGAUAACGUAGGGAAACUUACGCUAAUACCGCAUACGACCUACGGGUGAAGGCAGGGGAUCUUCGGACCUUGCGCGAUUGAAUGAGCCGAUGUCGGAUUAGCUAGUUGGCGGGGUAAAGGCCCACCAAGGCGACGAUCCGUAGCUGGUCUGAGAGGAUGGUCAGCCACACUGGAACUGAGACACGGUCCAGACUCCUACGGGAGGCAGCAGUGGGGAAUAUUGGACAAUGGGCGCAAGCCUGAUCCAGCCAUACCGCGUGGGUGAAGAAGGCCUUCGGGUUGUAAAGCCCUUUUGUUGGGAAAGAAAUCCAUCUGGUUAAUACCCGGGUGGGAUGACGGUACCCAAAGAAUAAGCACCGGCUAACCUCGUGCCAGCAGCCGCCGUAA
rnacentral:rRNA from 1 species